rnacentral:rRNA from 1 species
UACAGAGGUCCCAAGCGUUGUUCGGAUUCACUGGGCGUAAAGGGUGCGUAGGUGGCUGGGUAAGUUUGAUGUGAAAUCUCCGAGCCUAACUCGGAAACUGCAUUGAAUACUAUUUAGCUAGAGGAUUGGAGGGGAGACUGGAAUACUUGGUGUAGCAGUGAAAUGCGUAGAUAUCAAGUGGAACACCAGUGGCGAAGGCGAGUCUCUGGACAACUCCUGACACUGAGGCACGAAAGCUAGGGGAGCAAACAGG